ACUAAGCCAUCCUUACAAAAUGGACAAAAAGAGAAAAAGCCAGCAUGUAAAUUUGAAGAGAGUCAGGAUAUCCUAGCCAGAUGGUCAGACAACUUGUUUUAUCUCGCAAUUUUCAAAAAGAUAAACCUACUGAAACAGAGCUGCUUCAUCAUAUUUGAAAACAGUUCUAAAUCCUGGGUUCUCUGGAAGGACAUUCAAACAGGAGCCACUGGAAGUGGGGAAAUGGUCUGCACACUAUGUCAAGAGUAUUCAGAAGCUCCCAAUGAAAUGUUACACAUGAUGCAUGUGGCCAAGGAUAUCAUCAACUGUGUCAUCAUUGUACAGCUCACAUUGAUUCCAGUGUGAUUGAUUAAAGUGAAAAACACCUCUGUCGACAGCAUAUUUGUAACAACAAAGACAGAGGGGUGGUGCAAUUAAGAAA
rnacentral:lncRNA from 1 species